rnacentral:rRNA from 1 species
UACGUAGGGGGCUAGCGUUGUCCGGAAUUAUUGGGCGUAAAGAGCUCGUAGGCGGUUUGUCGCGUCUGCCGUGAAAGUCCGGGGCUCAACUCCGGAUCUGCGGUGGGUACGGGCAGACUAGAGUGAUGUAGGGGAGACUGGAAUUCCUGGUGUAGCGGUGAAAUGCGCAGAUAUCAGGAGGAACACCGAUGGCGAAGGCAGGUCUCUGGGCAUUAACUGACGCUGAGGAGCGAAAGCGUGGGGAGCGAACAGG